rnacentral:lncRNA from 1 species
AAGCACAAGCGAACCUGGCCCUUGAGUCUUUGAUUUCAAGCUGAUUUCUGUCUCUCUGUUUUGUAUCACAGGAACUCCAGCCCCAGAAAGACUUACAUGGUCACGAGCCAGUGUUCCACUGAGUUCUAGUCCAGUGACUUUGGGACUCUGAAUGAGCCUUGGCUGGGAAGACAUCUGUUGGUGAUAACCUGUCUGUGUUGUAUGAGGUGCGUUGGGUCUGUUCAUCACGCUUGUACCCAAGGGUAUCCAUUCAGGACCAUGCAGAUGUUUGGCCUUUCCUAGUUGACAUCUUUGUACUGUUGCUCGCUGUUGAUGCUGGCCUGACCUAAUGUCUCCCUGGGCGUGUGACGAAGCCUUGUUUUAGGUUCCUCCAUGAAGAGAAUUAUUUUGCACUAUGGUCCAUUACCCAUCAGACAUCAGACUAUAAGACCCAAGACCCUCUGGCCUCACUACACACGACUUCCCAAGGACC